rnacentral:tRNA from 1 species
GGGCCCGUAGCUCAGGUGGUUAGAGCGCACGCCUGAUAAGCGUGAGGUAGGAGGUUAAAGUCCUCCUCGACCCACCA